rnacentral:rRNA from 1 species
GUAGGUGGGCAAGCGUUGUCCGGAAUUAUUGGGCGUAAAGCGCGCGCAGGGCGGUCCUUUAAGUCUGAUGUGAAAGCCCACGGCUCAACCGUGGAGGGUCAUUGGAAACUGGGGGACUUGAGUACAGAAGAGGAAAGCGGAAUUCCAAGUGUAGCGGUGAAAUGCGUAGAGAUUUGGAGGAACACCAGUGGCGAAGGCGGCUUUCUGGUCUGUAACUGACGCUGAGGCGCGAAAGUGUGGGGAGCAAACAGGAUUAGAUACCCUGGUAGUCCACGCCGUAAACGAUGAGUGCUAAGUGUUAGGGGGUUUCCGCCCCUUAGUGCUGCAGCUAACGCAUUAAGCACUCCGCCUGGGGAGUACGGCCGCAAGGCUG